UAUCAACCCCGUUAUUUAAAAAUGUGCAAGUCCGUUUGUUCUUAUUAAGUGAUGAAGCCCCCUACCCCGCCACCACCCAAACAUUUAUCACCUUGUAUCCCCAGUUUUAUCAAGGGAAUACUAUAACCGCCAACGAACAAACAUAAAUAUAACAAAAAAAACAAAAACAAAUAAUCACCAGGAAAAAAAUUAAAAUAACUAAAAUAAAAACAGCGUUGGAUUGGCAGAUCUCGAGCCCACAACUUGGACUUGCAGGGAAUUUGGACUUGAAGCGAUUGAUUAAAGCUAGUGAAGAAACAUUUCGAUGUAACGAGGGUUUCUCCUGCAGCAGGUAAAAGAAUUCCGAGGAGUGAAAAAAAAACCCUGGAAAGGCUGGAAAUGUUUGGCUCAAAUAAGAGGCCAUCUACGGAAUAAAAAGAUGUAUGUACAUUUAGCUGUGGAAAUCGAAAUUCAAAUACUAGUCCCUACUUUAAUAAUAAUAAUAAUAAUAAUAAUAAAAAUACGUGUAUCCUCCUCUGUGUUCUCCACAAAAUCCAUUCCAGAAUAAAUUACAAAAACAGACAACACAAAUAUCAAACAAAAGGCUUCCAAGUGAUGAAAAAAACAAGAAACAUUUAACAAAAUGGCUGAAAGAAACUUUGUGGCAACCAACUUUAAAACAAACACUGCGACAGGUCAUAAUAAUAAUAAUAAUAUAAUAAUAAUAAUUUAUAAAUAAAUUGUCCUUUUCAAUUGCUGCAUUUUUGGAAUAUUAGUGUAUGUUUGGGAACAAAUAAGUCGUUCGAAUUACUUUUGCUCUUUGUAACUUUUCAGCCUUCUUUAAACCACUGAAGGCUUGAAAUAUGAAAUCCAGUCUAUAAAGCAAACGUGGGAAUAUGGAAUUGAAUUUACAAUUUUCUGCAGUAGUGCGAGCAAAUCAAACUUUAAGCCGAUUUCAACGGACGUAAACGGGCAGAACGAUAAAUAACACACAGACACAAGGCAGCAGGUAGAUUAUGAAGGAAACUGGAUUUUAAAAAGUCUUUUUUUUCUUUUCUCGGGAAUAUUAAUUCAAAAAGUGCCCCAGUGGAAAAAGAACGAUGGAACCAUGACAUUUAAAGUACGUACAAUAUUUACAGAUGUGAUUAUAGUGGAAAUCAAGAGCCCGUCCUGACCUGCGCAUGAUGCAACCAAUCGUUCUUGGAGGAUAAAGGAGAAUAAAGGCGAGGGGGGUAGGGUGGUGGUGGUGGUGGUGUUGGGGGGGGGGGGGGGGUGUUUUGAUUCAUCAUAGGACUUUGGAGAUAAACACGUCACAGCCACGGCCGGCUUGAGUCUGUGAGCCACGCACGCAAAUAUCAUCGUCAAUAUCUUCACGAGAACAUCGAUGGGUGUUUUGUGUCGGAUGAUGAAAUCCUGACGUGACAUCUCAUCUUACUUAACAAACAGGAGUCGCCGAGCGGUCGAAAUGAAUGCAAAGCUGACAGACGCUCACUCCGAGCUCGACUCUUUGGCGGCCCGCAGCAUCCAAUCGAGCAGCGAGCAUCUCUGCUGCGUGCAGGAGCCACACAACUAAAACCCCUUCGUUUGUUUUUUGUUGUUGUUGUUGUUGUUUAAAAAAAAAAAACUUUCCUGUUUUUGUUUGUUUGUUUGAAAUCGUGAUGUGUUGUUGUGGCCCAAGCUAUUCUGCGUACGUUUCGCGUUGAAAACAACAGCAUCCUUGUUUCUUGUCCUCCCUGGAUGUUGUUCUAACUCCUUUCGACAAAAAAUGGGGGAGGGGGCUACACCUUGAAACUGCGCCCAGUGGACUCACAGUGCUCGGCUGGUAUCCUCAAACAGAACAGAAGAGAAGAAAACACGUCGAUGCGCCUUGAGCUCUUGGGGGAGAGAUGAGACGGGGUCGUCCUGUGUGUGUGUGGCCCCCCCCCCCCACACACACUCUCGUUCUCACUGCAGAUAUGGUGACAGCAUGAUGGAGUUCUAAAACCAAGUCGGUAUUCCACCUAAAGAAUCUUUGCUGACAUUUGUCCUGGUUGCAGCAGCACCUUCCACACAUCAAUGGCAUCUGUUCUGUUUGAUCACUGAAAAUGUUUUAUGGAAGAUGGAAAGUGAUUUAGUCAAGUCCUGGGAUGCUUUAGGCCAAGCAGAGUGAAAUAUUUUUGAAGAAUAUCCUGCUCGUCAACACAAACAGAUGACAGCCAUCUUUUCCUGGAGCGGAUCUUUCUCUUCUACUUUAGAUGAGAAGCCUUUGGUGAAAAUAAAAGGAAGAGGGAGGCUAACAGAGAGAGAAGGUGUUUAUUUCAUUUGUCUCUGAGGGACAAAGCCCGCACCCCCCAUCUUCAACCCAACAUCCUAAUGGAUCAAACAAAGGACAUCAUUUGUAGGCCAAGUGUUUUUCUGAACGUCCCUCCCUCUCCUCGGCUAUGCAUUCCAGUCGAAUAGAGCCCAAGGAAACACGCAUUACCUAAGCACCUUGUGUCCGCCGGCUGGGACGGUGAGAUCAGCGACCCGCUCCUCCGUCGUCAUGUGGUGAGCGAGCCCCUUCGGUCGCUUCCAGAGGGGCUCGGUCACAACACUGCCUAAAGGGGCAGGUGAUGCAAGCACAUGAAGGCGCUUGUCGGCAGGAGACCCUUUGAUGGACAAAGACAAAUAAGGCAGAGAAAAACUUCGGACUGAUAAUAAUGUUUCCUUUGAUUCCUACGCAAAAUGAAAUGUUGUCAACAUUAUGUGAUUUGGAGGAAGUCAGAUUCAAUAAUUUCUUUUGUGCCUUUCAGAGUGAGGUUUUAUCCUGAACUAAAUUUACAGUUUAGUUGCAUCGUCAUUGUCAUUCUAAUUGAUAUUACUAUUAUUAUUGAUAUUACUUAAAUAAUGAACAAUUUCAAAGGAACAUUUUUGCUGCAGUUUGUUAGUCUACAAAACAUUUAACAGAGCCUCCCAGGUAAAUGUUUUGAAUAAAGCUUUAACUUAUGUUGCCAAGCAGUUUUUAUUUAAAAAAAUAUUUUUGCACUGAAAGAAAAUGUCUGUCUGUGAAAAUACUACAUUACAAGAAAGAUCAAAAAUCAUCCUACAUCAUUAAAAC